UCCCUCUUAGCUCAGUUGGUAGAGCGCGUCACUAGUAUAAAAUGGAUGAAUAUUAUUUAAUGACGAGGUCAGUCGUUCAAAUCGGCUAGAGGGAA